rnacentral:rRNA from 1 species
AGAGUUUGAUCCUGGCUCAGAGCGAACGCUGGCGGCAGGCUUAACACAUGCAAGUCGAGCGGGCAUAGCAAUAUGUCAGCGGCAGACGGGUGAGUAACGCGUGGGAACAUACCUUUUGGUUCGGAACAACACAGGGAAACUCGUGCUAAUACCGGAUAAGCCCUUACGGGGAAAGAUUUAUCGCCGAAAGAUUGGCCCGCGUCUGAUUAGCUAGUUGGUGAGGUAACGGCUCACCAAGGCGACGAUCAGUAGCUGGUCUGAGAGGAUGAUCAGCCACAUUGGGACUGAGACACGGCCCAAACUCCUACGGGAGGCAGCAGUGGGGAAUAUUGGACAAUGGGCGCAAGCCUGAUCCAGCCAUGCCGCGUGAGUGAUGAAGGCCCUAGGGUUGUAAAGCUCUUUUGUGCGGGAAGAUAAUGACGGUACCGCAAGAAUAAGCCCCGGCUAACUUCGUGCCAGCAGCCGCGGUAAUACGAAGGGGGCUAGCGUUGCUCGGAAUCACUGGGCGUAAAGGGUGCGUAGGCGGGUCUUUAAGUCAGGGGUGAAAUCCUGGAGCUCAACUCCAGAACUGCCUUUGAUACUGAGGAUCUUGAGUUCGGGAGAGGUGAGUGGAACUGCGAGUGUAGAGGUGAAAUUCGUAGAUAUUCGCAAGAACACCAGUGGCGAAGGCGGCUCACUGGCCCGAUACUGACGCUGAGGCACGAAAGCGUGGGGAGCAAACAGGAUUAGAUACCCUAGUAGUCCACGCCGUAAACGAUGAAUGCCAGCCGUUAGUGGGUUUACUCACUAGUGGCGCAGCUAACGCUUUAAGCAUUCCGCCUGGGGAGUACGGUCGCAAGAUUAAAACUCAAAGGAAUUGACGGGGGCCCGCACAAGCGGUGGAGCAUGUGGUUUAAUUCGACGCAACGCGCAGAACCUUACCAGCCCUUGACAUCCCGGUCGCGGACUCCAGAGAUGGAGUCCUUCAGUUCGGCUGGACCGGAGACAGGUGCUGCAUGGCUGUCGUCAGCUCGUGUCGUGAGAUGUUGGGUUAAGUCCCGCAACGAGCGCAACCCCCGUCCUUAGUUGCUACCAUUUAGUUGAGCACUCUAAGGAGACUGCCGGUGAUAAGCCGCGAGGAAGGUGGGGAUGACGUCAAGUCCUCAUGGCCCUUACGGGCUGGGCUACACACGUGCUACAAUGGCGGUGACAAUGGGACGCUAAGGGGCAACCCUUCGCAAAUCUCAAAAAGCCGUCUCAGUUCGGAUUGGGCUCUGCAACUCGAGCCCAUGAAGUUGGAAUCGCUAGUAAUCGUGGAUCAGCAUGCCACGGUGAAUACGUUCCCGGGCCUUGUACACACCGCCCGUCACACCAUGGGAGUUGGUUUUACCUGAAGACGGUGCGCUAACCCGCAAGGGAGGCAGCCGGCCACGGUAGGGUCAGCGACUGGGGUGAAGUCGUAACAAGGUA